rnacentral:misc_RNA from 1 species
GAUGAAGAACGUAGCGAAAUGCGAUACGUAAUGUGAAUUGCAGAAUUCAGUGAAUCAUCGAAUCUUUGAACGCAUAUUGCGCUCUUUGGUAUUCCGAAGAGCAUGCUUGGUUGAGUAUCAGUAAACACCUCAAAAGAUUUUCAUUUUUGAAAUGAUUUUGGACUUGAGCAAUCCCAACACCAGUCUUCACGGAUCGGCGGAGGGUUGCUUGAAAUGCAGGUGCAGCUGGACAUUCUCCUGAGCUAAAAGCAUAUCUAUUUAGUCCCGUCAAACGGAUUAUUACUUUUGCUGCAGCUAACAUAAAGGGAGUUUGACCAUUUUGGCUGACUGAUGCAGGAUUUCACAAGGGUCGGUAAAACGAUUUUUGUAAAACUCGAUCUCAAAUCAAGUAAGACUACCCGCUGAACUUAAGCAUAUCAAUAAGCGGAGGA